AGACAGAAACCAACACAGGUGAAACCCCUUCCCUCUAACGAGACAGAAACCAACACAGGUGAAACCCCUUCCCUCUAACGAGACAGAAACCAACACAGGUGAAACCCCUUCCCUCUGACGAGACAGAAACCAACAGGUGAAACCCCUUCCCUCUAACGAGACAGAAACCAACACAGGUGAAACCCCUUCCCUCUAACGAGACAGAAACCAACACAGGUGAAACCCCUUCCCUCUAACGAGACAGAAACCAACAGGUGAAACCCCUUCCCUCUAACGAGACAGAAACAAACACAGGUGAAACCCCUUCCCUCUGACGAGACAGAAACCAACAGGUGAAACCCCUUCCCUCUAACGAGACAGAAACCAACAGGUGAAACCCCUUCCCUCUGACGAGACAGAAACCAACAGGUGAAACCCCUUCCCUCUAACGAGACAGAAACCAACACAGGUGAAACCCCUUCCCUCUGACGAGACAGAAACCAACAGGUGAAACCCCUUCCCUCUAACGAGACAGAAACCAACAGGUGAAACCCCUUCCCUCUAACGAGACAGAAACCAACAGGUGAAACCCCUUCCCUCCAACGAGACAGAAACCAACAGGUGAAACCCCUUCUGACUUAAGGAGGCACCAAUAAGCCUAUCAUCCAACCUCAAAAACAUCCAUGUAAAAACCAAGACCUGUAAC